rnacentral:lncRNA from 1 species
AUGGAUGAAAUUUACAAGAUCUCUUCAACUGAGAGGGUCCAGCAAGUAGAAAAGGAAUUAGCUGUACAGUUGGUGGAACUGAAGACAGAAAUUGAAGGAAAUGGGGUCCUACAGGGAGCACCUCACUGCUCUGUUUCCCUUCCAAAAGACAUUGACUAUUUCAGAAAAGAAAGGGAGUUGGCACUGAAGAAAUGUUUACAGGUAGCAGAUGCAAAACCUCUUGUAAUUCAAGCUGAAGUCAUGCAGAGGGAGCUAGACAGCUGUCUAAAAAGAGAAUAU